ACACUUUCUGAGUGUCUAUUUUUUUUCG
rnacentral:misc_RNA from 1 species